rnacentral:sRNA from 1 species
CGGGGGUGCUCCCAAUAGCACCCAUGCGCAGGCAGGGCGGGGGGGUGCGUACAAAGGUUUCGAAUGGGUGGGUGGUGGUGUUCCGGGAGCUAGAUAGUGGAGAGGUUUUAGAUUGGAAGAUAGACGAUAACGAGAGAGAGAUGCUCGAGCUCGCUGCACAGGC